CGAGAACACGAUAAACUCAAGACCGCUUACACACAUUCCUAUUGAAGAUGAGUCAGCCCCAGUUCUAACCCCCAACCACAUCCUUCUUGGGAGUUCUAAUGGAGUUAAACCGCUUACGGCACUCAACGAUACUAGCACCAUCGUGCGGCAAUGCUGGCGUUCUUCCCAAAUUAUUGCCAACCAAUUUUGGAGACGCUGGAUAUUGCAGUAUUUACCAGAAAUAACAAGGAGAACGAAGUGGUAUUCCCACACAGCGCGACCAGUGAAAGUCGGUGACAUAGUUGUUAUCGUGGAUCAAACACUUCCUCGCAAUUGCUGGCCAAAGGGUCGGAUAAUAGCAGUUCGUCCAAGUAAAGAUGGAGAAGUAAGAUCAGCAACAGUUCGUACGAUUGCUGGUAUAUACGAAAGGCCGGUGGUCAAGCUAGCAGUACUGGACGUCGAGCGCGAAGUGGAGUAGCAGUCUGAGGAGUCAGCGUACCUGGGGGGAGUGUUGGCGAGGCAGCUUGCUGCCAGCGCGCAUCUAUGCAUUCAGUAAGCUUAUCCACAAACACAACCGACGAAGAGCUGCUAUAGGUAAUGUAAAAGUUGGCAACGUCAAUUAGCGAAGUAAGGAUAUAUAAACAAAAUCGAGAAGUCGCCUUAAAAUCUAAAAGCUAAACUAAAUUACAAUUGUUUCUAUUCUAAACUAAAAAUAAUUAUUAUAAAGUUGGGAAGUUCUUAUUACUACAGUGGUUUAUAUUAGCUAGAUUCCCAACAUAAAUUGUUUCGAGCCUAACCCUAAUUCCCAUCUAACGUAAAAAGCGCACAAUCACGAAAUCGACAGAAAGCUACGAACGACCACAUAAGGGACUAAAC